UCUCCUUGAUGUCCGCGACAACCGUGAC
rnacentral:piRNA from 1 species